AAGGUUUUAGGUGUAUAAGGAGUCCACUAGCGUUUGAUGAAAUUAGAUAUUUGAGAUAAAGAGAAAAGGCCAAGUGAAACCGAAUGCGAUUCCUGUUUGUGCAAUCCCCGUACGAAUCUAGAGACUACUGGGUCUCUACCUCCAUCUCAUUAAUGCAGCCUGUUGCAGAUGUAGAAGUGAGAGGGCGCUCUACACAGCUAAGAGCAGUGUCUCCCUCUAAAUGUUGGUAGGUCUCAUGGUAUUUUAUUUUAAUUUUAGGUGAUAGUGGUAGAGUGCACCGAGAGACAAGAGUAACGUUUUGAGAGUGGCUGGAAAACGACCUAUUUUAUAUGAAAAUAUUUGAUUUCGAUUUUGAGGGGUGCUUUAAUUAAAAUUGUAAAUGAAUGUAAUACUUAAGCAAAAAUAUCAGCAUUUGUUAAUAUCAGUUAGGUAGUAGAAUCGUGUCAUGAUAAAGAUAUUUAGCAUCACGUCUUAUUAAAAUAUACUGAUACUUUAUAUCAAACAAAAUAAUAUAUCAAAUGAAAACAAACAUGGACUCUACAAAACUCGAAAGGAAAAGCAUUUGCCAAGAAAAGGCAAAUUAGCCAUAGCCAAUUAUUGCAAAUUCUAAAAUAAUAUAUUUUUAUUUCAUUAUACUACGAUGCAGCGAUGGCAACAAUUUCUUAUUACUUAAUGGAAAAAAGUGUCAUCUACUUAAAAUUGGUUAGAAUCUGUUUAUUAAAAUAAUGAUUGAUUAAUCCCGUGUUUGAUGUUACAUAAGGCGCCAUAUUCAGUCACAACUAACAAUCUAGCUGACGUGAUAUUAAUAUGAUUAAUGAUCCAUUUCGAAAUUCAAGUGUACAAUCUUCCAAGUUACUUCUUAUUAAAUUAAAUCUGAGUAUUUUAAGUAAUCACUUAAUAAACCAAACGGGAGCAAGUGUAAUCCUAUACCCUAUACCUAAAGCAUUCAAAACAUUUUCCCGAACACCUAAAACCUUUUUGCUGUAACCUCUUUCAACCCUUGAACAUAUCAGCAAAGAGUAUUUAGCCUUCACUUAUAGGUACUGAAUCUUAUCUGUCACUGUCAAAAAAUAUUUACACAAAAUGUUUAUAUUCAUAGCUUAUAAAGAUGCCCCGGAAUUAUCCCACCGUCGUCGCUCCAGUGAGCUUGACAUAUCGGUGGAUAAGACCUUAUUGGUCAACCCUGAUUGCCCUGUCCGGAUCAUGUUGGAAUACAUCAGGAAAAAGUGCCGGCUAGGGAUAUACACCCAGUUCGACCUGUGCGAUGAUACUGGCGCUUUGAAAGGACUGUUCAGUCUGAAGACUUACGCGUAUGCUACUGACCAGUUUGAGCACAAGAAGACGUAUUACUUGAUCGUUAUUAAACACGAAAUGGAUAGACACUACUCCAUUCUUCCGCAGCUGAACCAGGAACAUAAGAUGUACGUAGAGCUGAAGGCUCGUGUGAAGAGGUUCCUCCUGACUGAGCCGCGAAUCUAUAUGAAAGGAUGCGAGUUCAACUAAACCUAUGUGAAGCAUAUACAUGAAGAUAUUCGUCUUUAUUAAUCUUGAUUCCAAUUUUGGUUGACAAAUGGCCUACCAAAGUUAAAGACUACAUUCUUCUUUAAUACAUUUCAUACAGGUAUCACAGUUUGUCAACCUUCCGGUGGAGAGCUGCCGGCGGUGGCUCGUGACCAAAUACGUGUGACAGGGACGUUGAAACGACACCCGUGUUAAUUGCUGAAAGCUAGGGCUCUACGCUAUUGUGAUAAUCUAGUAUUUCCAACACAAAGGUAUCCAAUGAGGAACAUUGCAAAACUGAAUCCCAAAUUUUGGACCAAUUGUUUAUUGUGCAACUUUCAAUUUUUAUUCAACCCUGCGCCCGCGCCGUUCCGGAAGUCAGCCGCACGUGCGCAGGAAGCCACGCUCACGGCGGGAAUAACUAAUCGAGUUUACGUAAUUUAUGUCAUGCUGGUUGACUUUAUUAUUAUUUAUUAAGUAUGUUUAUAGUAAGUCUUAUACGUAUAGCUCAAAAAACUGUUUGCAGUUCGUCUUUGAAUUUGAAGAUGUACACAAUUUAUGACUAUACUUAGUUUUAUGCUUUUAAUGUAAAAUAAUUUAGUUUUAUUUCUAGUAAUAAAUGAUGUUUCAAUAUUAGUGUUUUAAGUUUUCUGUUUCGAUAGUUAUUUACACUGAGGCUUCUAUAUACCAGUGGAUUCUACCCCUGCCCCAUAGUACAAAGCACAAUGUAGUUGGAUUAAGCCAGACAUCUUUUGCAGAAAUUGAAAGCCAGUAGUAGCUUUUUUAGAGUCUUUUGAAUCCAAUAAACACAGACCACACGGAAGAAUUCUGAAAUUGCUCAACUGUUAUUCUAGACCACGAUUCCACAAAAUAAAAAAUCAUACCCACGGAAUACCAUGAUCAUAGAUGAGCAAAAUAAAUUCGAAUUUCGAACAACGGGCUUGUUUUGCGCACCCAACCAUGUCGGUGCUUUUGGCGGGUCCAAACUGUCGUCAACCGACCAAAUUAAAUUGUCAGCGGUACUCGCAAUCAUGACUUCCUAGCAACUGACGUCAUAACGUAGCAGGAUUACCACAGAGAACCGUUUUCCAACAGGCACACUGUGUUUAGAAUAACACUGAAAAUUUCUUUAUUUUUUUAAUACGGUGCUUUCUGUGUACCGAAUAAAUUCACUUGGAGCUGAGAACGCGUUGGUUUUACGGUCGACAACGAUUACGUAUUAAUUACACGGCAUUUUGUGUUUUAUUUGGGGCUGGUAUUGUCUCGCGGACUAUUGUUGCAAAAUGUCCCUGUUCACUGUCUCCUUGUAAUCACAAUCGUGCUAUUUAAAUAAGUUUAGGCUUGGAUAAGAGUAUAAACGAUAAAUGAGAUAAAGAUAGACUUCAAUAAUACCGCAAUACUAUCAAUUUUCCCUAAUCCGAAACAAAAAAACUAUAGACAGUCAGUACUAGGUAAACAGAAACCUCAUUUUGAUAUCAAUUUAAUCUAAUCAUGAUUAAUUCACGAGUGGCCUUAGCCGUUUAUUUAGAAACUGGGCUCUGCCUGUUUUGUAAUAAUUCUACUACAAGACUGCAUUGUCGGUUCAUGAAAACAUACAGUGUACCUAAGGCACGAUGAUGGAUAAUAAAUACAUUUAUUUUGGGGACUGAUACCAAAUCAAAAAUAAGUUUUUUAUUCCUUUAUAAAAAGUCCUAUAUAAAAGCUACUUGGUCAAAAAGAUCUACCAAACUCUUCUUAUAUUUUGAUUUGGCUCAAAUAUUCUGUUAAAUUUAAAUGUAAAUUGUUUUUAGUUUUGCAGACAGAAAAGUUUUCAAUUUCCAGAAUGUUUCUUACUUUUCUCCUCACCCUAAUGCUUGAAUAAUCACUUGCGUCGUGCGAUUCAGGCAUUUUUUACUUAUAAGAAAAAAAGACAAUGAAGGCCUUAUAGCAACUCUUAAAACAAAACUGUUGUGAAAGCGAGAUGGCGCAUUAUACCAUGAAUAGCGGCAUCCCUCUUCCACAUUGCGAUAUUCUCACUUUAGAGAUGGCGGCAGGCCUGACCCCAUGUCCCGUGUUCAGCUUCACGUUGUUUCAGAGGAAUCAAUUUCACAGUAACGUACGUGAUGGUAGAAACGUUGAGACAGUCACCUUUCACUAGAAGUUGUUUGAAAGUUUGGUAUACCGCCUUUUUUCUACUGGUUCUAGGGAUGUAGAAUAGGAGAAAAAGAAAAAGAAAAUUCGUCAAGCUGUCAGUGAAAUUGAACAAGUAAGUAUCAAACCCAACCAAAGCUUCAUAUUUGCUAUUAACAAGGAUAUUUCAUAGUUCAAGCUUACAGCUAGUAAACUUAAGAGAUCUUGAGUGUUUGUUUAGUUCGUUUUCUAAUUUCACUUGGAUCACCGAAAUCUAAUUAGAAUCCUUUUUCCUCCACUUCGUUGUUCGCAAAAGUUGCAAAGUAUACAGCUUAAGAACAUGACAAACGUGGAUCCAGUACUCCAAAAAGUUAUAAAAAUUACGAGGUAGAAAAAUAAAUGAGUUAAACGAUUUUGUCCUAACAGCUGAUAAUUCGUCCGUAGCCCGUAUUUGAUUGAACUGGAAGUCGGUCAAUGUUACAUAAAUACAAUUAGCGAUGCCCGAUAAUAAUUAAGUAAGUUCUGAUUGAUAUUGCAAGCAGUGACGGUAACAACUGGUGUACUGGAAAAAUUUAUCCAUUAUUUGUUUUGAGCGAUCCACAAAGUACUGGAUUUGUGAAUCUCUCAAAACAAUUACGGACUUCUUGCAUAUCCUACUUCCUACUAUCCUCCUAAAAUUAUAAACGUGAAAGUUUAUACGUAUGGAUGAA